rnacentral:misc_RNA from 1 species
GUGAAACCUCCUUGACAACCUACCACCAACAAGAGAAAACUAGUAAAGAUGAAAACUUGGGAUUCUGCAACUCUUUUUCUUUAACACAAAAUCAAGAAAAAGGGAUUUUGCUUCAAUGGGUGUUUUGUUUUAGCAUUUUUGGAGCGUAUGAAGCGGUGCAGGGUGAGGAGUAAACGGGAAGACCAAGGUCAGUCUCAGACCCAAAGAAAG